AUAUUACUCCCUCCGUCCCAUAUUAGUUGCCGUUAAAAUGGAUGUAUCUAACAUUGAAAUACGCCUAGAUACAUCCAUAUCAGCGACAACUAAUAUGGGACAGAGGGAGUAGUUG
rfam:Hordeum vulgare subsp. vulgare, WGS project CAJW01000000 data, contig: morex_contig_45405